rnacentral:rRNA from 1 species
GACGAACGCUGGCGGCGUGCUUAACACAUGCAAGUCGAACGGUGAAGGUGGAGCUUGCUCCGCCGGAUCAGUGGCGAACGGGUGAGUAACACGUGGGCAACCUGCCCCUCACUUCGGGAUAACUCCGGGAAACCGGGGCUAAUACCGAAUACGACCUCCUUGGGCAUCCCGGGAGGUGGAAAGUUUUUCGGUGAGGGAUGGGCCCGCGGCCUAUCAGCUUGUUGGUGAGGUAACGGCUCACCAAGGCGACGACGGGUAGCCGGCCUGAGAGGGCGACGGGGCACACGGGGACUGAGACACGGCCCAGACUCCGACGGGAGGCAGCAGUGGGGAAUAUGGCGCAAUGGGCGAAAGCCUGACGCAGCAACGCCGCGUGCGGGAUGAAGGCCUUCGGGUUGUAAGCCGCUUUCAGCAGGGAAGAAGCCGCAAGGUGACGGUACCUGCAGAAGAAGCACCGGCUAACUACGUGCCAGCCGCCGCAGUAA